rnacentral:rRNA from 1 species
GCAGUAGCCGCGGUAAGACGGAGGGUGCUAGCGUUGUUCGGAAUCACUGGGCGUAAAGGGCGCGUAGGCGGCCUGUUAAGUCGGAUGUGAAAGCCCGGGGCUCAACCCCGGAACUGCAUCCGAGACUGGCAGGCUUGAGACCGGGAGAGGAGGGUGGAAUAUCCAGUGUAGAGGUGAAAUUCGUAGAUAUUGGAUGGAACACCGGUGGCGAAAGCGGCUCUCUGGCCCGGAUCUGACGCUGAGGCGCGAAAGCGUGGGGAGCAAACAGGAUUAGAUACCCCUGUAGUCCCUGUCUCUUAUAC